AAACACUAAAGACAAAUAUACAGGAUGGUGAACAAAUAGAAAGAUCAACUUUAUUCUUGGCUAUGACUCAAAGUUGUAAAGAUACCAAUUUUCUCACUAGUUUUGAACUUGGACAAAUUGACUUUUAAUACCAUAUAUAAAAUAAUCAAAAUUUCCCAUUAAAAAAAACAGAAUAAGAAGAGUCCUGAGAGGGGACCAUUUACUUAGAAUAGAUUUUUGCAAGUAGAAUUGCUAGCUCAAAUUUUAAAAAUUUUCAUAUCUGGAUAUGUAUUAUAAAGUCGGUUUCAGUGAUUGUAUUGAUCAACAUUAACCAUGCACCAUCAAAUACACUUCUCAUCUUUGCUACUUUCUUCACAGUAAUGAUAGGAGCAGAUCAUUUUAAAUCUUCAAAGACUGACAGCUGAGGGUUUUGAGAGACUCAUUCACUGGCUUCUUUCUAAAAAUUUUAUUCUCAUUUUUUCUAACUCAGUCUAUGAGACCUUAGGUGAAAACCUAAAUACGAAAACCUACAUUUGAGAAGAGCAUACAAAAAUCCCCCAUAAUACCCUCAACUAUCCUAAUUUUAAAAACUCAUCAAACAUACGGUUCUCAUACUUAGUGUCCAUCAGGAUCACUUGUGGGGGGCUUGUUAAAACACAGACAACUGAGCCCCACUUCCAGCAUUUCCAAUCCAGUAGAUCAGGUGAGAGCCCUACAAUUUGCAUCACUACCAAGUCCCCAGUGAGGCUGAUGUGGCUGGUCUGGGGACCACACUUUGAGAAUCACUGCACUAAACGGUUAUACUGAGUGCCUACUACAUCACAAGUACCGUCCCAGGUGCAUGGAGGUGGCAGUGAACAAGACAGAGAGAGUAAACAGACAUGGGACAACAAGCAAGUAACCAAGUGAGCAGAAUUUUCUGGCAGCUGUCACAGUAAAACCCAAGCUAUGGAAAAAAAAUAACCCCUGCAAGCAAGAAACAGUAAAGAAAAUAAGGAAAGAAACAAGCAUCUCAAAGAACCAGGCUAUUCCUUGUAGAGGUGGCAGAGCAUCUACCUGAUGAUGGAUCGGGCCCCUGGGAGGCAUCCAUCACUUCUAAUCCUGGGCUCUGCGAGAGGAAAUGAACCUCGCAUGCAUAAAUUAGUGAAAGGCAUGAUAGUGAUUCGUGUUCCUUUUGCAAUUUCCUCUUCUAUACAGCCGCUUAUGCAGAUUGAACAAGAUGUCACUGUUACAUUAGGAACAAAGUGAGACACAAAAAUUAGUAAAAAUGAAAACUUAUUCUGGAUUUGGUCAACCUCUAGCUAAAGACUUCCCUCAGGGAAAAGACUCCAUGAAAGAGAGGAACUGUUAUUUUAAUUCUGAUAUUUAAUGAUAUUACAAAAGUCAUCCUGAAGUUGUUAUGGGAAAGAGAAAAGAAAAAAAUAAUCGUAGUUGUAAAACCCAGGAAAGGAAAAGAGGAGAGAGAGAGAAUCUGACUAAGUAGGAUUCCUCCAGUUUAAGUUGGUAUCUGAGCAGAGACGGAGGUAGCAGAGGCCACAGCCUUGGCGGCAGGAAACCCAACCCCUUUGGGAAGAAAUUGUUCUUCUUACUGUUGUGAGAAGGUAUUGAGUGAGGCAACAGGCACUUUGGGUUACUAGGCAGAUCUCUAGCAAAGGUCAAGAAGAAAUUGAGCCCAACAUAGCGAGACAAAUACUAACAAGAAGUUUCACGUAAAGGUUUUAACUUGAUUCUCUCAACUAAUCCACAAUAUGGAUGUUAAAAAUAUUCUCAUUUUACAGAUAAAACUGAGAGACCCAAAGUGACUUUCUCAAGAUCAGGCCAUCAAUAGGCGGCGGGGCUUGGCCUUGGCACUCAGCGUUGUACCCCGAGGAUUCGGUCUCUCCUCUCUGUCACAUCUCCUGCAUGUCGGGCCCACCUAUUUAAGCCACAUCUAAAAGAAAUCCACGUUCCUGGGAGGCCUACUAAGAAGGGUCAGGCUGGGGUAGAAGCAGAACAAGAAGAAGAAAGUAUAACCACUGGAGCCCCAAUUCCAGCUCUACAUGCCCUUAUUGCAACAGGAUGGUCGCUGUACCUCUCUCUAUCAUUUCAGUCACUUUCCCUUCCUUUGCACUUUGCAUGGAUGAAAUCUUUUCAUCUUACCUCUAGGAGGUAGGUGCUAUUAUCAUACCCAUUUGAAA
rnacentral:lncRNA from 1 species